UUAUUCGGUAAGUUCUGUCCAACUUGUACGCGCAAACGUGACACGGUUCGGUGUUAAAAAUUGUGAACCAUCAUCGUUGUAACCUACGAAUCCUACGCUUUAUUGGUUAGAGGUAACAGCGGUCGUUUUUGAAAAUGGAAAUACUUUCCGUGCGAGGUAUUAGACUCGCAUCCAGUUUAGGGUUCAGACCGUUGUUAACGACGAAAAAUUUAUUAGAGUCAACGUGUUUUCUGCGUUACAGCGAUCGUUUGAAAUUCAAACUGUCUGAGAAACAGUUGCUUCAAAGAAAUCUAUCGUACAAUUAUGUCCCAUUUUUCAAACGAAUUAGUGCGUGCGAAACGCCACUUUGUAAGUUCAACAAAAAUAUUUUGGUUACGCGAUAUUGUCAAUCAAAGACCAGUAAGGAUGCUGCUAAAGAAGGACAGCCAGCUAAAGUAUCAAUAUUUACUAAAAUGAAACAAAUGGGUAAGGACUACUGGCACAUAUUGCUUCCAGUUCACAUUGUCACCUCUGUAGGUUGGCUGGUUAUGUUCUAUUUAACCAUUAAGAACGGGGUAGAUAUUGUACAGGUCAUGGAAUAUCUGAACUUUAGUGAUAAGUAUUUAGACAGGAUACGAAACACCAGUGCAGGAAACUGGGCUUUAGCGUAUGUUCUUUUUAAAAUUGCCACACCUCUUAGGUACACACUUACCGUAGGAUGUACAACAAUGGCUAUCAAGAUUCUUAGCAGAUCAGGAUUAGUCAAACCUCUACCAUUUGGCAAACAGAGUCAGGUGAUAUUCAAGACAACAGAAUCAAAUAAAACAGCGAUGCAACAAAAACAAUUAAAAGUAGAACGACACACGGAGCCACCAAAAACGUAGCAGCAAGAACUCAUCGAUCAAGUACCACCUGGAUAUGAAGCUUUCAUUUUCUUCUUUCGUGUAGUCUGAGGACUACAUGGAUCGAAUGGAUGUACAGUGUCUCUUCGACAACGUUCCUUUACGCCUUAUGUAAAUUCCUGAGAAGUAUUGACGAAUCUCAAGAGUAUUGUAUAAGUUCGGAUAAUUGUAUUGUCAUAAUAAAUACUGUUAGCAAACGCAA